rnacentral:lncRNA from 1 species
UGUGAGCGCCGCUGUCCCGGGGACCGCGGAUUGGAAGCAGGAAGUCACUGGCCGCGGACAGAAUCUCUCUCUCCUUCCAUCUCAGCAAGGAACUGGAGUCGCAUUGAUUACUGAUUGGUAACCUGAGCACCACCCGGAUCAAUACCGACAUGGACCCACUGUGCGCACGUCCCUUACAGAGAUACAGACAACACUCAAAGUUUGAAUCGGAUCCAGAGCCUCUGCUGGCUUGAAUGUGAAGAGUUAAUCAACCACACAUGAAAAAGAAAUAAAAGGCAUUCUUGAGAGUCUAAAAAGUGAUUCUACUAUACAUCAGCAUUCAGAAAAUGAGGUAUCCAAAGUUAUUUUGCCACGGGGGAGAACUUUUUAAUGAAUUAAACUGCGUGAAAUGAACAGCUUCCACCUUGCGUUCCUGCCACCACGAUCAGAGAUCAGUCAUACCUACCCCCAUCGAGUGAAGAUAACCCAUUUUGGCUGCCGGAAUGACUCACCCGAAAGAUAUUCAUCAAGGAUGGUGUGGAAGAUGCUGACCUCCCGAGGACUGUUCCUGAUCCUGACAAUGCUGAACUUGUCUCAGGAAAUUGGUCCGAGGGGUUCGAUGAGACUCUCGAGGCCCUGAGAGCAGCCGUUCUAAAGAUCAACUCGACACCAGUGGACCUGUCAUUGACAGAGGGUCUCUCCUCCUGGAUUUCAUCUGCAUUUUCUUAUUUUAAGGAAUGGGUGGGGGUAGUUUUAUUUGCUGCUGCCAUCUGCUGUGGACUUGUGUUCAUGCUCUGAUUGGUUUGUAAGCUCAGAACCCAACAAAACCGUGACAAGGUCGUUAUUACUCAGGCACUUGCAGCCAUUGAACAAGGGGCUUCCCCUGAAAUUUGGCUUAAGACUUAAAUGCUUAAGACUUAAAUGGCAUCUGAGUUCUCUGCUAUUGCGUCCCACGGAUUUGUGGAUCCAUUGCACUGGGAUGAGAGGGACUCAACGCUCAUUGAUCAGCACUUGCACUUCGCUGAGUUUUACUAAUUCAUUUUUCGGCUGGCCUCUUUUAUAGAGUUCACCCUAGGUCAUUUGGCAGUUACUGUCACACAGUACUGCGGUAUCCAGAGAGGGGCAACUUUCCUCAUGUACAGACCAACCUAAGACACGUGACCCGGUGGCGAUAGGGUUACCCUAUGACAGGAAAGGCUGUGACAUUGGAGGAAUGACCUAAGACAGGAGCCACCGCAGAUGGACAUGACUGCAGAGGCCUAUACCAGCCUCAAAUUUUAAUAAAAUUAAAAGGGGGAGAUGUGGAGAGCCGUGCCGUGAGCAAUCGCCAUUAUAAGAUGGCGCUGGCUUCCACUGCGCCUAACUAGUAAAGCGCCUAACUAGUAAAAUGCGCAAGUGCAAGAGUGAAUUCACGCCCAGUCACUGCCCAUCUCGGGGCAUAGUAAUGGGGUGAUGGGUGAGCAACUAAUCAGGUGCUGUCACGCCACAUCAGGUGCUGAAACGUCACACUGUGGGCUAUAUAAGCAGUGCCGUUUUCCGGGUUCGGGGUCUUCCUUAUGUUGAAGCAAUAAAAGCUUUGCCAAUUUAUUUCCAAAAGCAACAAGGAUUUCUCCUGACAUUUGUAGAAGGGAUGAGAAAGAUCACCUGGGCCAAGAUCCAGAGGAUUAAGAUCCAUAGUGAUGGGAAGACUUAGCAACUAUGUGGGACCAUCCUCUGCUUCGGAUCCUGAACUCUCCAAACAGAAGAAGGGACCUGAGCAGCAGCAACAGCAGCAUUCAUUACUCUCUGUUCCUGAUCGUGGAUACAAUGAGAUCAGCUGAUUUAAGCUCCUGCUUCCUUGAUUUCCCAUCCUUGAUGGAACAUAGCCAGACUAAGCCUUUCUCCCUUAAAUUGGCUUUCUGGGCGUAUUUUAACACAGAAAUGUAAAAAGAAACUAAGAUGAUGAUCAAAAAGAGUAAAGAAAUAUACUCCACAU